UGCAUUUCUUGGUCUUGAAAGUCGUGGGC
rnacentral:piRNA from 1 species